rnacentral:sRNA from 1 species
CAAUUCAAUUUGCUAAAACUUCUUCAUUUCUGAAGUGCCGCAUCCGCUUCU